rnacentral:rRNA from 1 species
CUAGACCUACGGGGGGCAGCAGUAAGGGAUAUUGGUCAAUGGGGGAAACCCUGAACCAGCAACGCCGCGUGAGGGAAGACGGUUUUCGGAUUGUAAACCUCUGUCCUCUGUGAAGAUGAUGACGGUAGCAGAGGAGGAAGCUCCGGCUAACUACGUGCCAGCAGCCGCGGUAAUACGUAGGGAGCGAGCGUUGUCCGGAUUUACUGGGUGUAAAGGGAGCGUAGACGGCAGCGCAAGUCUGGAGUGAAAUGCCGGGGCCCAACCCCGGAACUGCUUUGGAAACUGUGCAGCUCGAGUGCAGGAGG